UCCUUGGUGGUCCAGUGGUUAAAAUACUGCAUUCCCAAUGCAGGAGGCCUGGUUCAAUCCCUGGUCGGGGAA
rnacentral:tRNA from 1 species